CCUACGGGAGGCAGCAGUGGGGAAUAUUGGGCAAUGGGCGCAAGCCUGACCCAGCAACGCCGCGUGAAGGAAGAAGGCUUUCGGGUUGUAAACUUCUUUUCUGGGGGACGAACAACUGACGGUACCCCCGGAAUAAGCCACGGCUAACUACGUGCCAGCAGCCGCGGUAAUACGGAGGUGGCAAGCGUUAUCCGGAUUUCUUGGGUGUAAAGGGCGUGUAGGCGGGAAUGCAAGUCAGAUGUGAAAACUCAGGGCUCAACCCUGGGCCUGCAGUUGAAACUGUGAUUCUUGAGUGCUGGAGAGGCAGUCGGAAUGCCGGGUGUAGCGGUGAAAUGCGUAGAUAUACGGAGGAACACCAGUGGCGAAGGCGGAUUGCUGGACAGUAACUGACGCUGAGGCGCGAAAGCGUGGGGAGCAAACAGGAUUAGAUACCCCAGUAGUC
rnacentral:rRNA from 1 species